GCCCCGAGCCGCCCCGAACAGCCGCGAGCCCCGAGCAGCCCCGAGCCCCGAGCAGGCCCGAGCCCCGAGCAGCGUGGGGCGAGGUGCGGGCGCCGCGGGGGCACCCCUGGGGUUGGCGGCCCAGAGGUGGCCCGGCCGCGGCGCUAAGCUGGUCGGGAGGACCCGCGUGAUGGGUGCGGGCGGAGGGCCGGGCACCCACGUCCUGCUCGGCCCCAGCCACGAAGCUAAGCGGAAAAGCGCGACGCAGGACGCGGGGUUGUUGGUGCUCCUGCGGGAGGAGGGCAGCGCGGAAGGGGCCGGGAGGGCGGGGCACCCACGUCCUGCUC
rnacentral:lncRNA from 1 species